UUUCCGGGUUGAUCCUGCCGCCGGCCACCGCUAUCAAGUUCCGACUAAGCCAUGCGAGUCAAGGUAUCGUAAGAUGCCGGCAAACUGCUCAGUAACACGUGGAUAAUCUAACCUUGAGUAAGGGAUAACCUCGGGAAACUGAGGAUAAUACCUUAUAAUUGCUUAAAACUGGAAUGUUUAAGCAAUAAAAGUUCCGACGCUCAAGGAUGAGUCUGCGGCCUAUCAGGUAGUAUGUGGUGUAAUGGACCACCUAGCCUCAGACGGGUACGGGCCCUGGGAGGGGUAGCCCGGAGAUGGACUCUGAGACAUCAGUCCAGGCCCUACGGGGCGCAGCAGGCGCGAACACUGUGCAAUGCGCGAAAGCGCGACACGGGGAGCUUGAGUGUCUUGGCAUAGCCAAGACUUUUCUCAUUCCUAAAAAGCAUGAGGAAUAAGUGCUGGGUAAGACGGGUGCCAGCCGCCGCGGUAACACCCGCAGCACAAGUGGUGGUCACUUUUAUUGAGCCUAAAGCGUUCGUAGCCGGUUUUGUAAAUCUUUAGAUAAAGCCUGAAGCUUAACUCCAGAAAGUCUGAAGAGACUGCAAGACUUGAGAUCGGGUGAGGUUAAACGUACUUUCAGGGUAGGGGUAAAAUCCUGUAAUCCCGGAAGGACGACCAGUGGCGAAAGCGUUUAACUAGAACGAAUCUGACGGUAAGGAACGAAGGCUAGGGUAGCAAACCGGAUUAGAUACCCGGGUAGUCCUAGCUGUAAACACUGCCCAUUUGAUGUUGCUUUUCCGUUGAGGGAAGGCAGUGUCGGAGCGAAGGUGUUAAAUGGGCCGCUUGGGAAGUAUGGUCGCAAGACUGAAACUUAAAGGAAUUGGCGGGGGAGCACCGCAACGGGAGGAAUGUGCGGUUUAAUUGGAUUCAACGCCGGA
rnacentral:rRNA from 1 species